AACGAACGCUGGCGGCAUGCCUAACACAUGCAAGUCGAACGAGACCUUCGGGUCUAGUGGCGCACGGGUGCGUAACGCGUGGGAACCUGCACUUAGGUUCGGAAUAACUCCCCGAAAGGGGUGCUAAUACCGGAUAAUGUCUUCGGACCAAAGAUUUAUCGCCUUUGGAUGGGCCCGCGUUGGAUUAGCUAGUUGGUAGGGUAAAAGCCUACCAAGGCGACGAUCCAUAGCUGGUUUGUGAGGAUGAUCAGCCACACUGGGACUGAGACGCGGCCCAGACUCCUACGGGAGGCAGCAGUGGGGAAUAUUGGGCAAUGGGCGAAAGCCUGAUCCAGCAAUGCCGCGUGAGUGAUGAAGGCCUUAGGGUUGUAAAGCUCUUUUACCCGGGAUGAUAAUGACAGUACCGGGAGAAUAAGCUCCGGCUAACUCCGUG
rnacentral:rRNA from 1 species